GCAGUGGUGUUUCAGCGGCAGCAUUCUCGCCUUCCAUGCGGGAGACCUGGGUUUGAUUCCCGGCCAGUGCA
rnacentral:tRNA from 1 species